rnacentral:rRNA from 1 species
GAUGAACGCUAGCGAUAGGCUUAACACAUGCAAGUCGAGGGGCAGCAUGGUCUUAGCUUGCUAAGGCUGAUGGCGACCGGCGCACGGGUGCGUAACGCGUAUGCAACUUGCCUCACAGAGGGGGAUAACCCGUCGAAAGACGGACUACUACCGCGUACACUCUCUGUUGGGCAUCCUAUGUAGAGGAAAUGAAAUUCGCUGUGAGAUAGGCAUGCGUCCCAUUAGCUAGUUGGUGAGGUAACGGCUCACCAAGGCGACGAUGGGUAGGGGAACUGAGAGGUUGAACCCCCGCACUGGUACUGCGACACGGACCAGACUCCUACGGAAGGCAGCAGAGAGGAAUAUUAGGCGAGGGGGGAGGGCCUGAACCAGCCAAGUCGCGUGAAGGAUGACUGUCUUAGGGAUUGUAAACUUCUUGUAUACGGGAAUAACAAGAGUCACGUGUGGCUCCCUGCAUGUACCGUAUGAAUAAGCAUCGGCUAACUCCGUG